rnacentral:rRNA from 1 species
AUGCCGAACCCUAGAGAGGUUGAGAGAGCUCUUUUUGUUGAACAUAUUAAGCUGAAAAAGUGUGGGGUUAGUGUUAAAUUAUCUCCCUGGUCUGAAGAUAUUGAUUCUGAGGGACUGCUUGAAAUUGCUUGGGUCAAGAUUGGUAAAAUUCCGCCUAACAAGAGAUGUGAUAAGACUAUAGCUUAUGUGGGAGCGUUAGUUGGGAUUACUCUGGAAGUCGAUAUGUCAACUAUAAAUCGCCCUUCUUCUGUCAGAGCUAAGAUUGGGUGUAGGUCGAUAGCUCAGCUUCCUGCCACUGCUGAAGGAGUGCUGGCAGGACGCUUCUACAGGUUUACUUACGAGGUUGAGGAGGUUUUGGUCAAGAAUCCU